rnacentral:rRNA from 2 species
UUACAAUGGAGAGUUUGAUCCUGGCUCAGGAUGAACGCUAGC